AAAGGGUGCGUAGGCGGCCUGUUAAGUCAGAGGUGAAAGACGGUAGCUCAACUAUCGCAGUGCCCUUGAUACUGAUGGGCUUGAAUUGACUAGAGGUAGGCGGAAUGUGACAAGUAGCGGUGAAAUGCAUAGAUAUGUCACAGAACACCGAUUGCGAAGGCAGCUUACUAUGGUCUUAUUGACGCUGAGGCACGAAAGCGUGGGGAUCAAACAGGAUUAGAUACCCUAGU
rnacentral:rRNA from 1 species